rnacentral:rRNA from 1 species
GCGCGAAAACUCUGCAAUGCACGCAAGUGUGACAGGGGGAUACUCAGUGCUUACGCUUAUGGUGUAGGCUUUUGUUGAGUGUAGAUAGCUCAGCGAAUAAGUGGUGGGCAAGACCGGUGCCAGCCGCCGCGGUAACACCGGCGCCACGAGUGGUCAUCACGAUUAUUGGGCCUAAAGCGUCCGUAGCCUGUCUAGUGCAUCCCUUGUGAAAUCGUCCGGCUUAACCGGACGGCGUGCAGGGGACACGGCUAGACUCGAGACCGGGAGGCGUGCGAGGUAUUCCAUGGGGAACGGUAAAAUGUGAUAAUCCAUGGAGGACCACCGAUGGCGAAGGCAUCGCACGAGAACGGCUCUGACGGUGAGGGACGAAAGCCAGGGGAGCGAACCGG